rnacentral:rRNA from 1 species
GUGCCAGCCGCCGCGGUAAUACGGAGGGUUCAAGCGUUGUCCAGAAUCACUGGGUGUAAAGGGUGUGUAGGCGGGCCUGCAAGUCAGAGGUGAAAGCCCCCGGCCUAACCGGGGAACUGCCUUUGAGACUGCAGGUCUUGAGUCCUGGAGGGGUCACUAGAAUUCGUGGUGUAGCGGUGAAAUGCGUAGAUAUCACGAGGAAUACCAGAGGCGAAGGCGGGUGACUGGACAGGUACUGACGCUGAGGCACGAAAGCGUGGGGAGCAAACAGGAUUAGAUACCCCUGUAGUCC